rnacentral:lncRNA from 1 species
UUAGGGUUAGGGUUAUGGUUGGAGCUAGGGUUAGGGUUAGGGUUGUAGCUAGGGUUAGGGUUAGGGUUAGGGUUAGGGUUGGAGCCAGGGUUAGGGUUAGGGUUGCAGCUAGGGUUAGGGUUAGGGUUGGAGUAAGGGUUAGGGUUAGGGUUGAGGCUGGGGUUAGGGUUAGGGUUUGAGCUAGGGUUAGGGUUAGGGUUAGGGUUGCAGCUAGGGUUAGGGUUAGGGUUAGGGUUGGAGCUAGGGUUAGGGUUAGGGUUAGGGUUGCAGCUAGGGUUAGGGUUAGGGUUAGGGUUAAGGUUUGAGCUAGGGUUGGGGUUAGGGUUAGGGUUGUAGCAAGGGUUAGGGUUAGGGUUAGGGUUGGAGCUAGGGUUAGGGUUAGGGUUGCAGCUAGGGUUAGGGUUAGGGUUAGGGUUGGAGUUAGGGUUAGGGUUAGGGUUGGAGCUCGGGUAAGGGUUAGGGUUAGGGUUGCAGCUAGGGUUAGGGUUAUGGUUAGUGUUGCAGCUAGGGUUAGGGUUAGGGUUGGAGCUAGGGUUAGGGUUAGGGUUGCAGCUAGGGUUAGGGUUAUGGUUGGAGCGAGGGUUAGGGUUAGGGUUGCAGCUAGGGUUAGGGUUAGGGUUGGAGCUAGGGUUAGGGUUAGGGUUGGAGUUAGGGUUAGGGUUAGGGUUGGAGCUAGGGUUAGGGUUAGGGUUGCAGCUAGGGUUAGGGUUAGGGUUAGAGUUAUGGUUGGAGCUAGGGUUAGGGUUAGGGUUAGGGUUGGAGCUAGGGUUAGGGUUAGGGUUAGGGUUGGAGCUAGGGUUAGGGUUAGGGUUGGAGCUAGGGUUAGGGUUAGGGUUAGGGUUGCAGCUAGGGUUAGGGUUAGGGUUUGAGCUAGGGUUAGGGUUAGGGUUAGUGUUGCAACUAGGGUUAGGGUUAGGGUUAGAGUUAGGGUUAGGGUUAGGGUUGCAGCUAGGGUUAGGGUUAGGGUUAGGGUUAUGGUUGGAGCUAGGGUUAGGGUUAGGGUUAGGGUUGUAGCUAGGGUUAGGGUUAGGGUUAGGGUUGGAGCCAGGGUUAGGGUUAGGGUUGCAGCUAGGGUUAGGUUUAGGGUUGGAGUAAGGGUUAGGGUUAGGGUUGAGGCUGGGGUUAGGGUUAGGGUUGGAGCUAGGGUUAGGGUUAGGGUUGGAGUUAGGGUUAGGGUUGGAGCUAGGGUUAGGGUUAGGGUUGCAGCUAGGGUUAGGGUAAGGGUUUGAGCUAGGGUUAGGGUUGGGUUGCAGCUAGGGUUAGGGUUAGGGUUGGAGCUAGGGUUAGGGUUAGGGUUGCAGCUAGGGUUAGGGUUAGGGUUGAGCUAGGGUUAGGGUUAGGGUUGCAGCUAGGGUUAGGGUUAGGGUUGAGGCUGGGGUUGGGGUUAGGGUUAGGGUUGCAGCUAGGGUUAGGGUUAGGGUUGGAGCUAGGGUUAGGGUUAGGGUUGGAGUUAGGGUUAGGGUUAAAGCUAGGGUUAGGGUUAGGGUUAGGGUUGCAGCUAGGGUUAAGGUUAGGGUUAGGUUUGCAGCUAGGGUUAGGGUUAGGGUUAGGGUUGCAGCUAGGGUUAGGGUUAGGGUUAUGGUUGGAGCUAGGGUUAGGGUUAGGGUUGGAGUUUGGGUUAGGGUUAGGGUUGCAGCUAGGGUUAGGGUUAGGUUUAGGGUUGAGGGUAGGGUUAGGGUUGCAGCUAGGGUUAGGGUUGGGGUUGAGGAAAGGGUUAGGGUUAGGGUUGGAGCUAGGGUUAAGGUUAGGGUUGGAGCUAGGGUUAGGGUUAGGGUUAGGGUUCGAGUGGAGCUAGGGUUAGGGUUAGGGUUAGGGUUGCAGCUAGGGUUAGGGUUAGGGUAAGAGCUAGGGUUAGGGUUAGGGUUGCAGCUAGGGUUAGGGUUAGGGUUAGGUUUGCAGCUAGGGUUAGGGUUAGGUUUAGGGUUUGAGCUAGGGUUAGGGUUAGGGUUGGAGUUAGGGUUAGGGUUAGGGUUGGAGCUAGGGUUAGGGUUAGGGUUGGAGUUAGGGUUAGGGUUAGGGUUGGUGCUAGGGUUAGGGUUAGGGUUAGGGUUGCAGCUAGGGUUAGGGUUAGGGUUAGUGUUGCAGCUAGGGUUAGGGUUAGGGUUGGAGCUAGGGUUAGGGUUAGGGUUGCAGCUAGGGUUAGGGUUAGGGUUAUGGUUGGAGCUAGGGUUAGGGUUAGUGUUGCAGCUAGGGUUAGGGUUAGGGUUGAGCUAGGGUUAGGGUUAGGGUUGCAGCUAGGGUUAGGGUUAGGGUUUAGGGUUAGGGUUAGGGUUGGAGCUAGGGUUAGGGUAGGGGGUUAGGGUUGGAGUUAGGGUAGUGUUAGGGUUAGGGUUGCAGCUAGGGUUGGAGUUAGGGUUAGGGUUAGGGUUGGAGCUAGGGUUAGGGUUAGGGUUGGAGCUAGGGUUAGGGUUGGGUUAGGGUUAUGGUUGGAGCUAGGGUUAGGGUUAGGGUUAGGGUUUGCAGCUAGGGUUAGGGUUAGGGUUGUUGAGCUAGGGUUAGGGUUAGGGUUGCAGCUAGGGUUAGGGUUAGGGUUAGGGUUUGCAGCUAGGGUUAGGGUUAGGGUUAGGUUUGAGCUAGGGUUAGGGUUAGGGUUGGAGCUAUGGUUAGGGUUAGGGUUAGGGUUGGAGCUAGGGUUAGGGUUAGGGUUGCAGCUAGGGUUAGGGUUAGGGUUGGAGUUAGGGUUAGGGUUAGGGUUGAGCUAGGUUAGGGUUAGGGUUAGGGUUGGAGCUAGGGUUAGGGUUAGGGUUGGAGCUAGGGUUAGGGUUAGGGUUGCAGCUAGGUUAGGGUUAGGGUUAGGUUAUGGUUGGAGCUAGGGUUAGGGUUAGGGUUGGGUUGCAGCUAGGGUUAGGGUUAGGGUUAGGGUUGCAGCUAGGGUUGGAGCUAGGGUUAGGGUUAGGGUUGGAGCUAGGGUUAGGGUUAGGGUUGCAGCUAGGGUAUUAGGGUUAGGGUUGCAGCUAGGGUUGGAGCUAGGGUUAGGGUUAGGGUUGAGCUAGGGUUAGGGUUAGGGUUAGGGUUGCAGCUAGGGUUAGGGUUAGGGUUGGAGCUAGGGUUAGGGGGUUUGAGCUAGGGUUAGGGUUAGGGUUAGGUUGCAGCUAGGGUUAGGGUUAGGGUUGGAGCUAGGGUUAGGGUUAGGGUUAGGGUUGCAGCUAGGGUUAGGGUUAGGGUUGGAGUUAGGGUUAGGGUUAGGGUUGCAGCUAGGGUUAGGGUUAGGGUUAGGGUUAAGGUUGGAGCUAGGGUUAGGGUUGGAGCUAGGGUUAGGGUUAGGGUUAGGGUUGGAGCUAGGGUUAGGAUUAGGGUUGCAGCUAGGGUUAGGGUUAGGGUUGGAGUUAGGGUUAGGGUUGGAGCUAGGGUUAGGGUUAGGGUUAGGGUUUGAGCUAGGGUUAGGGUUAGGGUUGGAGCUAGGGUUAGGGUUAGGGUUAGGGUUGCAGCUAGGGUUAGGGUUAGGGUUAGGGUUGCAGCUAGGGUUAGGGUUAGGGUUAGGGUUGCAGCUAGGGUUAGGGUUGCAGCUAGGGUUAGGGUUAGGGUUAGGGUUAGGGUUGGAGCUAGGGUUAGGGUUGCAGCUAGGGUUAGGGUUAGGGUUAGGGUUAGGGUUAGCAGGGUAGGGUUAGGGUUAGGGUUGAGCUAGGGUUAGGGUUAGGGUUAGGGUUGCAGCUAGGGUUAGGGUUAGGGUUAGGGUUGGAGCUAGGGUUAGGGUUAGGGUUGCAGCUAGGGUUAGGGUUAGGGUUAGGGUUGGAGCUAGGGUUAGGGUUAGGGUUGGAGCUAGGGUUAGGGUUAGGGUUGGAGCUACGGUUAGGGUUAGGGUUGGAGUUAGGGUUAGGGUUAGGGUUAGGGCUGGAGCUAGGGUUAGGGUUAGGGUUAGGGUUGCAGCUAGGGUUAGGGAUAGGGUUAGGGUUAAGGUUGGAGCUAGGAUUAGGGUUGUAGCUAGGGUUAGGGUUAGGGUUAGGGUUAGGUUUAGGGUUGGAGCCAUGGUUAGGGUUAGGGUUAGGGUUGCAGCUAGGGUUGGCGCUAGGGUUAGGGUUAGGGUUCGAGCUAGGGUUAGGGUUAGGGUAAGGGUUGCAGCUAGGGUUAGGGUUAGGGUUAUGGUUGGAGCUAGGGGUAGGGUUUGAGCUAGGGUUAGGGUUAGGGUUAGUGUUGCAGCUAGGGUUAGGGUUAGGGUUAAGGUUGGAGCUAGGGUUAGGGUUAUGGAUAGGGUUGAGCUAGGGUUAGGGUUAGGGUUAGGGUUGGAGCUAGGGUUAGGGUUGGAGCUAGGGUUAGGGUUGCAGCAAGGGUUAGGGUAGGGUUUUAGCUAGGGUUAGGGUUAGGGUGCAGCUAGGGUUAGGGUUAGGGUUGGAGCUAGGGUUAGGGUUAGGGUUGCAGCUAGGGUUAGGUUUAGGGUUAGGGUUGGAGUUAGGGUUAGGGUUGCAGCUAGGGUUAGGGUUAGGGUUGAGGCUGGGGUUGGGGUUAGGGUUAGGGUUGCAGCUAGGAUUAGGGUUAGGGUUGGAGCUAGGGUUAGGGUUAGGGUUGGAGUUAGGGUUAGGGUUAGGGUUGCAGCUAGGGUUAGGGUUAGGGUUAGGGUUGAGGCUAGGGUUAGGGUUAGGGUUAGGGUUGCAGGUAGGGUUAGGGUUAGGGUUGAGAGGGUUAGGGUUAGGGUUAGGGUUGAGGUUAGGGUUAGGGUUGCAGCUAGGGUUAGGGUUAGGGCAGCUAGGGUUAGGGUUAGGGUGAGAGGCUAGGGUUAGAGGGUUAGGGUUAGGGUUGGAGCUAGGGUUAGGGUUAGGGUUGGAGUAGGGUUAGGGUUGGGCUAGGGUUUGAGUUAGGGUCAGGGUUGCAGCUAGGGUUAGGGUUAGGGUUGAGCUAGGGUUAGGGUUAGGGUUAGGGUUGCAGCUAGGGUUAGGGUUAGGGUUAGGGUUUGCAGCUAGGGUUAGGGUUAGGGUUAGGGUUGGAGGGUUAGGGUUAGGGUUGCAGCUAGGGUUAGGGUUAGGGUUAGGGUUAGGUUGCAGCUAGGGUUAGGGUUAGGGUUGCAGCUAGGUUUAGGGUUAGGGUUGUAGCUACGGUUGGGGUUAGGGUUGGAGCUAGGGUUAGGGUUAGGGUUAGGGUUGGAGCUAGGGCUAGGGUUAGGGUUGCAGCUAGGGUUGGCGCUAGGGUUAGGGUUAGGGUUCGAGCUAGGGUUAGGGUUAGGGUUAGGGUUGCAGCUAGGGUUAGGGUUAUGGUUGGAGCUAGGGUUAGGGUUUAAGCUAGGGUUAGGGUUAGGGUUAGUGUUGCAGUUAGGGUUGGAUAGGGUUAGGGUUAGGGUUGGAGCUAGGGUUAGGGUUAGGGUUAGGGUUGCAGCUAGGGUUAGGGUUAGGGUUAGGGUUAUGGUUGGAGCUAGGGUUAGGGUUGUAGCUAGGGUUAGGGUUAGGGUUAGGGUUGGAGCUAGGGUUAGGGUUAGGGUUGCAGCUAGGGUUAGGGUUAGGGUUGGAGUUAGGGUUAGGGUUUGAGCUAGGGUUAGGGUUAGUGUUAGGGUUUGAGCUAGGGUUACGGUUAGGGUUGGAGCUAGGGUUAGGGUUAGGGUUAGGGUUGCGAGCUAGGGUUGGCGUUAGGGUUAGGGUUGCAGAGGGUUAGGGUGCAAGGGUUAGGGUUAGGGUUAGGGUUAGGGUUAGGGUUGCAGGCUAGGGUUAGGGUUAGGGUUGGAGCUAGGGUUAGGGUUAGGGUUGCAGCUAGGGUUAGGGUUUAGGGUUAGGGUUGGAGUUAGGGUUAGGGUUUGCUAGGGUUAGGGUUAGGGUUAGGGUUGCAGCUAGGGUUAGGGUUAGGGUUAGGGUUAGGGUUAGGGUUGCAGCUAGGGUUAGGGUUAGGGUUGCAGCUAGGGUUAGGGUUAGGGUUGAGGCUGGGGGGUGAUUAGGGUUAGGUUGGAGCUAGGGUUAGGGUUAGGGUUGGAGUUAGGGUUAGGGUUGGAGCUAGGGUUAGGAGUUAGGGUUAGGGUUGAGCUAGGGUUAGGGUUAGGGUUGAGCUGGGUUAGUUAGGGUUAGGUUGCAGCUAGGGUUAGGGUUAGGGUUAGGGUUGGGUUGAGCUAGGGUUAGGGUUGCUAGGGUUAGGGUUGGGUAGGUUGAGCUAGGGUUAGGGUUAGGGUUAGGGUUGUUGGUAGGGUUAGGGUUAGGUUAGGUUAGGGUUAGGGUUAGGGUUAGGGUUAGGGUUGGUUAGGGAGCUAGGGUUAGGGUUAGGGUUAGGUUGCAGCUAGGGUUAGGGUUAGGGUUCAGCUAGGGUUAGGGUUGCAGCUAGGGUUAGGGUUAGGGUUAGGUUUGCAGCUAGGGUUAGGGUUAGGGUUAGGGUUGGAGCUAGGGUUAGGGUUAGGGUUUGAGCUAGGGUUAGGGUUAGGGUUGGAGCUAGGGUUAGGGUUAGGGUCAGGGUUGAAGCUAGGGUUAGGGUUAGGGUUAGGGUUAGGGUUGCAGCUAGGGUUAGGGUUAGGGUUAGGUUUGCCGCUAGGGUUAGGGUUAGGGUUAGGGUUGGAGCUAGGGUUAGGGUUAGGGUUUGAGCUAGGGUUAGGGUUAGGGUUAGGGUUAGGGUUAGGGUUGCAGCUAGGGUUAGGGUUAGGGUUAGGGUUGCAGCUAGGGUUAGGGUUAGGGUUAGGGUUGCAGCUAGGGUUAGGGUUAGGGUUGAGGCUGGGGUUAUGGUUAGGGUUAGGGUUGGAGCUAGGGUUAGGGUUAGGGUUGGAGUUAGGGUUAGGGUUGGAGCUAGGGUUAGGGUUAGGGUCAGGGUUGAAGCUAGAGUUAGGGUUAGGGUUAGGGUUAGGGUUGCAGCUAGGGUUAGGGUUAGGGUUAGGUUUGCAGCUAGGGUUAGGGUUAGGGUUAGGGUUGGAGCUAGGGUUAGGGUUAGGGUUUGAGCUAGGGUUAGGGUUAGGGUUAGUGUUGAAGCUAGGGUUAGGGUUAGGGUUAGGGUUGCAGCUAGGGUUAGGGUUAGGGUUAGGUUUGCAGCUAGGGUUAGGGUUAGGGUUAGGGUUGGAGCUAGGGUUAGGGUUUGAGCUAGGGUUAGGGUUGGAGCUAGGGUUAGGGUUAGGGUCAGGGUUGAAGCUAGGGUUAGGGUUAGGGUUAGGGUUAGGGUUGCAGCUAGGGUUAUGGUUAGGGUUAGGUUUGCAGCUAGGGUUAGGGUUAGGGUUAGGGUUGGAGCUAGGGUUAGGGUUAGGGUUUGAGCUAGGGUUAGGGUUAGGGUUAGUGUUGCAGCUAGGGUUUGGGUUAGGGUUAGGGUUGGAGCUAGGGUUAGGGUUAGGGUUAGGGUUGCAGCUAGGGUCAGGGUUAGGGUUAGGGUUAUGGUUGGAGCUAGGGUUAGGGUUAGGGUUUGAGUUAGGGUUAGGGUUAGGGUUGGCGCUAGGGUUAGGGUUAGGGUUGCAGCUAGGGUUAGGGUUAGGGUUUGAGUUAGGGUUAGGGUUGAGGCUGGGGUUAGGGUUAGGGUUGGAGCUAGGGUUAGGGUUAGGGUUGGAGUUAGGGUUAGGGUUGGAGCUAGGGUUAGGGUUGCAGCAAGGGUUAGGGUAAGGGUUUUAGCUAGGGUUAGGGUUAGGGUUGCAGCUAGGGUUAGGGUUAGGGUUGGAGCUAGGGUUAGGGUUAGGGUUGCAGCUAGGGUUAGGUUUAGGGUUAGGGUUGGGGUUAGGGUUAGGGUUGCAGCUAGGGUUAGGGUUAGGGUUGAGGCUGGGGUUGGGGUUAGGGUUAGGGUUGCAGCUAGGGUUAGGGUUAGGGUUGGAGCUAGGGUUAGGGUUAGGGUUGGAGUUAGGGUUAGGGUUAGGGUUGCAGCUAGGGUUAGGGUUAGGGUUAGGGUUGAGGCUAGGGUUAGGGUUAGGGUUAGGGUUGCAGGUAGGGUUAGGGUUAGGGUUGCAGCUAGGGUUAGGGUUAGGGUUAGGGUUAGGGUUGCAGCUAGGGUUAGGGUUAGGGUUGCAGCUAGGGUUAGGGUUAGGGUUGAGGCUGGGGUUAUGAUUAGGGUUAGGGUUGGAGCUAGGGUUAGGGUUAGGGUUGGAGUAAGGGUUAGGGUUGGAGCUAGGGUUAGGGUUAGGGUUAGGGUUGCAGCUAGGGUUAGGGUUAGGGUUAGGUUUGCAGCUAGGGUUAGGGUUAGGGUUAGGGUUGGAGCUAGGGUUAGGGUUGCAGCUAGGGUUAGGGUUAGGGUUAGGGUUAUGGUUGGAGCUAGGGUUAGGGUUAGGGUUGGAGCUAGGGUUAGGGUUAGGGUUAGGGUUGCAGCUAGGGUUAGGGUUAGGGUUAGGGUUGGAGCUAGGGUUAGGGUUAGGGUUGCAGCUAGGGUUAGGGUUAGGGUUAGGGUUGGAGUUAGGGUUAGGGUUGCAGCUAGGGUUAGGGUAAUGGUUGAGGCUGGGGUUAGGGUUAGGGUUAGGGUUGGAGCUAGGGUUAGGGUUAGGGUUGGAGUUAGGGUUAGGGUUGGAGCUAGGGUUAGGGUUAGGGUUGCAGCUAGGGUUAGGGUUAGGGUUGAGGCUGGGGUUAUGGUUAGGGUUAGGGUUGGAGCUAGGGUUUGGGUUAGGGUUGGAGUUAGGGUUAGGGUUGGAGCUAGGGUUAGGGUUAGGGUCAGGGUUGCAGCUAGGGUUAGGGUUAGGGUUUGAGCUAGGGUUAGGGUUAGGGUUAGGGUUGCAGCUAGGGUUAGGGUUAGGGUUAGGGUUGCAGCUAGGGUUAGGGUUAGGGUUAGGGUUUCAGCUAGGGUUAGGGUUAGGGUUAGGGUUGCAGCUAGGGUUAGGGUAAGGGUUUGAGCUAGGGUUAGGGUUGCAGCUAGGGUUAGGGUUAGGGUUAGGGUUAGGGUUAGGGUUGGAGCUAGGGUUAGGGUUAGGGUUGCAGCUAGGGUUAGGGUUAGGGUUAGGGUUGCAGCUAGGGUUAGGGUUAGGGUUAGGGUUUCAGCUAGGGUUAGGGUUAGGGUUAGGGUUGCAGCUAGGGUUAGGGUAAGGGUUAGGGUUUGAGCUAGGGUUAGGGUUGCAGCUAGGGUUAGGGUUAGGGUUAGGGUUGGAGCUAGGGUUAGGGUUAGGGUUGCAGCUAGGGUUAGGGUUAGGGUUAGGGUUGCAGCUAGGGUUAGGGUUAGGGUUAGGGUUGGAGCUAGGGUUAGGGUUAGGGUUGCAGCUAGGGUUAGGGUUGGAGCUAGGGUUAGGGUUUGGGUUGCAGGUAGGGUUAGGGUUAGGGUUGGAGCUAGGGUUAGGGUUAGGGUUGCAGCUAGGGUUAGGGUUAGGGUUGGAGCUAGGGUUAGGGUUAGGGUUGCAGCUAGGGUUAGGGUUAGGGUUGAAGCUAGGGUUAGGGUUAGGGUUAGGGUUAUGGUAGGAGCCAGGGUUAGGGUUAGGGUUAGGGUUCGAGCUAGGGUUAGGGUUAGGGUUAGGGUUAGGGUUAGGGUUGCAGCUAAGGUUAGGGUUAGGGUUGCAGCUAGGGAUAGGUUUAGGGUUGGAGCUAGGGUUAGCGUUAGGGUUGCAGCUUGGGUUAGGGUUAGGGUUAGCGUUGGAGUUAGGGUUAGGGUUAGGGUUUCAGCUAGGGUUAGGGUUAGGGUUAGGGUUGAGGCUAGGGUUAGGGUUAGGGUUAGGGUUGCAGGUAGGGUUAGGGUUAGGGUUGCAGCUAGGGUUAGGGUUAGGGUUAGGGUUGCAGCUAGGGUUAGGGUUAGGGUUGCAGCUAGGGUUAGGGUUAGGGUUGAGGCUGGGGUUAUGAUUAGGGUUAGGGUUGGAGCUAGGGUUAGGGUUAGGGUUGGAGUUAGGGUUAGGGUUGGAGCUAGGGUUAGGGUUAGGGUUAGGGUUGCAGCUAGGGUUAGGGUUAGGGUUAGGUUUGCAGCUAGGGUUAGGGUUAGGGUUAGGGUUGGAGCUAGGGUUAGGGUUGCAGCUAGGGUUAGGGUUAGGGUUAGGGUUAUGGUUGGAGCUAGGGUUAGGGUUAGGGUUGGAGCUAGGGUUAGGGUUAGGGUUAGGGUUGCAGCUAGGGUUAGGGUUAGGGUUAGGGUUGGAGCUAGGGUUAGGGUUAGGGUUGCAGCUAGGGUUAGGGUUAGGGUUAGGGUUGGAGUUAGGGUUAGGGUUGCAGCUAGGGUUAGGGUUAUGGUUGAGGCUGGGGUUAGGGUUAGGGUUAGGGUUGGAGCUAGGGUUAGGGUUAGGGUUGGAGUUAGGGUUAGGGUUGGAGCUAGGGUUAGGGUUAGGGUUGCAGCUAGGGUUAGGGUUAGGGUUGAGGCUGGGGAUAUGGUUAGGGUUAGGGUUGGAGCUAGGGUUUGGGUUAGGGUUGGAGUUAGGGUUAGGGUUGGAGCUAGGGUUAGGGUUAGGGUCAGGGUUGCAGCUAGGGUUAGGGUUAGGGUUUGAGCUAGGGUUAGGGUUAGGGUUAGGGUUGCAGCUAGGGUUAGGGUUAGGGUUAGGGUUGCAGCUAGGGUUAGGGUUAGGGUUAGGGUUUCAGCUAGGGUUAGGGUAAGGGUUUGAGCUAGGGUUAGGGUUGCAGCUAGGGUUAGGGUUAGGGUUAGGGUUAGGGUUAGGGUUGCAGCUAGGGUUAGGGUUAGGGUUGCAGCUAGGGUUAGGGUUAGGGUUAGGGUUGCAGCUAGGGUUAGGGUUAGGGUUAGGGUUUCAGCUAGGGUUAGGGUUAGGGUUAGGGUUGCAGCUAGGGUUAGGGUAAGGGUUAGGGUUUGAGCUAGGGUUAGGGUUGCAGCUAGGGUUAGGGUUAGGGUUAGGGUUGGAGCUAGGGUUAGGGUUAGGGUUGCAGCUAGGGUUAGGGUUAGGGUUAGGGUUGCAGCUAGGGUUAGGGUUAGGGUUAGGGUUGGAGCUAGGGUUAGGGUUAGGGUUGCAGCUAGGGUUAGGGUUGGAGCUAGGGUUAGGGUUGGGUUGCAGGUAGGGUUAGGGUUAGGGUUGGAGCUAGGGUUAGGGUUAGGGUUGCAGCUAGGGUUAGGGUUAGGGUUGGAGCUAGGGUUAGGGUUAGGGUUGCAGCUAGGGUUAGGGUUAGGGUUGAAGCUAGGGUUAGGGUUAGGGUUAGGGUUAUGGUAGGAGCCAGGGUUAGGGUUAGGGUUAGGGUUCGAGCUAGGGUUAGGGUUAGGGUUAGGGUUAGGGUUAGGGUUGCAGCUAAGGUUAGGGUUAGGGUUGCAGCUAGGGAUAGGUUUAGGGUUGGAGCUAGGGUUAGCGUUAGGGUUGCAGCUUGGGUUAGGGUUAGGGUUAGCGUUGGAGUUAGGGUUAGGGUUAGGGUUGCAGCUAGGGUUAGGGUUACGGGUUAGGGUUGAGGCUGGGGUUAGGGUUAGGGUUGUAGCUAGGGUUAGGGUUAGGGUUGGAGCUAGGGUUAGGGUUAGGGUUGAGGCUAGGGUUAGGGUUAGGGUUGCAGCUAGGGUUAGGGUUAGGGUUAGGGUUAGGGGUUAGGGUUAGGGUUAGGGGUUAGGGUUAGGGUUAGGGUUAGGGUUAGACUAAGACCAAUAGACACGUACUGACCAGUUUUAUAUGGCACAUUUACAGUUUCCAUGCAUGCAGACAGAUGUUGUUUUUUUUUACUUAAAAUUGAAUCAGUCGCUUAAUAUUGAUCAUCUGUGAUCUGUAGGAUAGUCUUGCCUUCUGUGCAACUUUGAGAGACAUAAAAACUCAGCGACAUAAAUUAAGACCAAAUAGACUUUGGAUUUAAUAAUGUUUUGCCACGCUGUUCUGUGCAAGGCUGCUUAGCCAUUUUGUGGCGUCUGUGGCGAGGGUUUUCUUCUUCCUAAUUUUCUCUUUUUUUGCUCCAUUUCCUUGUCUUCUUUUCCCUCCUUUCCAUUUCACCAUGGUGAUCAUGUUGCCUUAUGUCAGUUCAGAAACAGGGAGUAGACAAUUGUUAUGUAUGUUGCAUGGCACUUUGUCAUGACAUCAUAUUUUGCAAACGGCGGCUGGAACCCAAGGGCAGAUAGAUUAGCACUAUUAACCCACCGUGAGAGAUGCACUUGCAUGAGAUGAUGCAUGCAUUCAAAGCAGUCUAUUCACUCACUGACCGCUCAUUUAAGGCCAAAUAGACCCUCAGGCCACAGGGAACAUCUUGGUGCUCUCAACAUACAUCAGUGUCUGGUCCCACGGCUCCUCCUGCCAGAUUGCCUCUGUGCAUGCCUUGGCAUUGCUGCAAAUAGCUCCAAUCAAGAUGCUAUCGUGAAUGAAAAUACCCACACCACAUUCAAAAGACAGAUACAGAGUGGCUCAGCUCAUAGUGUCAUAACUUUUGCAACAUGGACUUCUUUUGCUUCCCAAAGCCAUAAAAUCAACAUAAAGAGCCCAGGCAGAGAGCUCUUUUCAUUAUGUGGUGAACAUCAGAGGAGGCAGUGGUUAGUGAACGCCCUCUCUUUAAUGGGCUCAUAUUUUCUGGUUCAAGCAAUGAUGGCAGACUGAGCAUUAUUCAUUAUUUAUUAUAUUAAUAUAAGUGCAUGGAUACACCAUGAUUUAAGGUCAAACAGGUAGAGCCCUGAUUCAAGAGUCAGCCUUUGUUAGUAAACCAGGAGUUACAUUUGUUGCCAUCAUUUUUUUAGUCAGAGCUCAAUCUUAAACCCCUCACUCUUCUGGUAUUUAAUUGUGCUCAAAUGGACAUGUUUACAGGGAGGCUUUAAUGGUUCCACUGCUGAUGGUUUCAUGUAUCCGUAAUCAUUACUGUAAAAUCCACUCUAGAGCCUCACAGAGGAGUUAGCACUGCAAGGUUUUAUCCUCUGCCAUUAUUCUGUUGCUCUGUUUCCCAUUACUGCGCCAUUACCCCCCCAGCACUGAGCCUUUUUUGUGAUGAACUCAGUGUUUUAGCUGACAUUCGAGACUAAAGUCCAAAUGAGUUUUUCAGGGAUGACCACAGCAGAGCAGCUUUGAGGUGAUGUAAGACUUUCCAGCUUUUGUACAAGGUUGAGAGAGUUUGUGGGCCGUGAAUGGUGACUGACUUGAAACCCAAGCCAGGUCAUCAUUAUUUACGAUGAUUCUCACAGGAGGCAUUCAUUCUUUGUCCUUUUAGGGGCAUACAUAGAGACCCUCUCAAGAAAGAUAUGACUUUAUUUUCCAACACUGAGCCAAGAAAACAUCCCGUUUGAUGUUGCUGGCCAAACACCUCAUCCAAGAAAGCUUUGACAAAGAGCAAUCACAAAGAAAUACUCUCUGAUAUGCAGCAUCUAAUUUUAAGAUAGCAAAAAAUCAGUGUUUCAAAACUGUAUUCAGAGAGGAGUUGAUACUGAAAAAGCAAAGCCAAGGGCACACAUUGGCUUUUAUUUAAAGGUACUUGAGAUCGCCAAAGGGAAACAAAGGCUUGAUUAAUAAUGCACAAGCCUCACUUUGAUUUAAUUAUUCACUAGAUUUCUAAGAAACAAUAAGGGCAACAAUAACAAGAAGUAGAUGUACUGUCAUUUUUUGUCAGUGCGCAGAGGCUGUGAGCUAUGGCAGCUCAUGAUUAAAAUUUAAUACCUCUAUCGGCUACAAUGAUGUGGUACAAAACAAGCUAAUAGAAAGAAGAGUGUGAAGGAGAGGAGAGGGAAAAGGGUAUUUAAAAAGAGGGGAUCAACUUCUAGAGGAGCUCAGAGAGGGAUGAAGGAAGUUUUGCAUUUUAUUUCUUCAAAUUGUUUACCACCACUUUGAAGUUGUCAGCAGUGUUCAUGGAGAAAAACGUCUAUUUAAAACAUUUUUGCUUCUGCUGCUUACUUACAAGAAAAACUUCAAAUCAAACAGCGGAAAUUGACUUGACUCCAAAAGGUAUUUAUCUUUGCAGCAACAACAUAAAGCUUUUUUCUUUAGGUAAAAAAGUGGCUGUAUGAGAGUGUGUAUUUUGUUGUUUUAAGGAGAAUCAAUGUUUGAGCCAAAGGUGAAUGUUUAUACCCGGCUCAGAGACAGCAUCCAUUUGUGGCAUAAAUUUCUACAGGCAUUACUCCAAAGAUGUUUUGUACCCAAGAGAUGUAUCACUUACAGAAAGAGAGUUGAAUACAGAGAACCAGAAAUGGACCAUGAAGGAGCAGACUGAAAUCUACAGCCAACAAUGUCAGACGGUUAAGGGCUGUGUUUGAACUAGUUUGUUAUCAGAGUAAUGAAUUCUGCUGAGCACCUUGAAUUGAAUUAACCCGUAUCCAACACAAGCAAAGAGAAACACAGAUGCAGUUCACCCACACGUUCCUGGGAGAACCCUUCCUUUAAGACAAUUUAAUUGGAUUUUCUUACAUAAAACUUACCUUGCCAAUGUUUUUCAAACUCUAAGAGAAGUGUCCUUAAAAUGAAAACUUGAAAUUGAUUGCUGUGAAUAUGUACUCACAGAUGUGACCAGAGCAGGGCCACUAGUACAGCAGUUUUACAAAUAGAAACGGAGGGAGCAUUUAUAGUGUAGAGAGAGAAAUAAAAAUAAUAGAUGAAACACAAACAGGACAAGUGAGUGAAGAGACCGAGAGCAAGAGUGGGAAUAAGAGGGAGCCUUUCUUCCUCCUCCAAGAGGAACCUGUUUUUACAGCAGCAAUCAGUCAGUGCUGGAGUUGUGGCUGGAAACAGAGACGGAGAGGAUGGAGGGAACAUAAAACAGAUGAUGGGAAAUAACAGCACGGCAGCAUAAACACAGGAGUCACAGUUUUAAAAUGCCAACGUUUACUGCUGGCAGAUGCUCAAACAGGCAGUCUGCGGGAGAGGCAGGGAGAGAAAUGUAACACUCAAGGCACGCCUCCAUACUAUGAAGGUUAUAUACAUCAAUUAAACAGGACGAUGUAUAUAAUUUUUCAAUGAAAUGUAUGUAUGUAUCCUAAACUCCUGUAUAGCAAUAAUAUGCAAAUUUCAUGUUUAGAAAUGAUCAAACAAGAGCUUGGAGUGAAGACAAUAUUUAAAGCAGGUUUAACUUUGAUUUAGAUGAAUAGAAAAUGCUCCUCAUUUUGAUAUUACAGUGAUGGUAUUACAUUUAAUGUCCUGCAGAUGGCAGCAGAGUCAUUUAAGAGAACAGCUCUCAGAUUUCUCCAAGAGAAGAGAAAGAACGUAGUUUAGACAGAAAAGACUGAAAGUGAAAAAUCUAUCUAUCUAUCUAUCUAUCUAUCUAUCUAUCUAUCUAUCUAUCUAUCUAUCUAUCUAUCACCUCAUCUUUGUCCAUCAGUGUCACCUCCUCUCUCAUCCACCUAUGAUAGCUCUUCAGCAGUCAUGUUGGUGACAUUCAGAGAUCAUGAUUCGACAGGCAAAUGGAGUAGAUCCAUCACUUGCACUCGGAGCAGCCUGAGGUAAGAAGGGAUCCUGCUGUCUCGACAUUUUUAUUUAUUUAUUAUUGCUCCUCGGCGCCUCAUUUGCAUCAUCACUGUCUCAGCGCAAAGCAGCUUUCUCCUCUGUGAAUCAGCAGGCAUGUGCCAUGGUACUCCUCUGACACCUUUAGUAUUCUGGCUGGAGCUCAAAUGUCGGUAAAUCUCUUGUUAUAAAAGGUGGCCAUAAACAGCUAAUGGUCUGUCAUGAAUAUUUUAGAGGCCUGAAUAUCAUACAGAAAUGACCUCUGGAAAAACCACAACCCUAACAAGGCACAUCUCAGAUGGAUCACCUCCACAGCCAGUGCAACACGAGGCCACUCUCUCUGGUUCUUUUGGCUUCUCUUUUUUUUUUCCUUUUCGUGGCAUGAUUGGAUUGAUUUGUCAUUUGCAGCAGAGGGAGCUUGGCCACGGGGCUGUGGAUAAUCCAAUUUAUCGCUUUGCCAUUUAUUACAAAUUUCUGUGGCUUUUGGGUCCACUGUCACAUCGAUUCGUUGAUUGCUUGCUUAGCUGGGUCCUAAUGAGCUGCUGUCUGAAUCACUGCAUAAUCACCGCCCUAAUUCACUUCCUUGCCUGCCCUCACACUCGCUCUGUUGGCUCGCCACUAUUAGAAAGGAAUGGACUGAAACACACUCUCUGAGCAGACAAUUAGUAACGUCAUCCUUGAAACAGGCUGUCAUUCUACGAGUAUUAGUCUUUAAUCAAUGACAAUACUACUGCGACUUUGCAGAAUGUUUCACAAAUUGCUUUUUUAAGUGACAAGACGCUUAUUUAGCUCAUUGUGUGCACCCUAUACACACAAAAAUUUAACAGCCACGACGAUAAAGGCAGGGGAAACCACACUAGAGAGUAAAAAUCUGGAUGCAGGCUACAAAGUACAAGGUAUAAAAUAUUAUGCAGUUAUUUUCUUAUAAGUGUGUCCAGGACAUGAGUAAAUAGAUGCAAACAAGUUUAUCUUAAAAAAAAAAUUGUAAAUGAAAAUUGUAAAUGUAAUCCAUUAAAUACUCUGUAAUUACCUUUGAAAAGUGGUUAACAAGAGCUGUAUUUUCCACCCUAUUAACUCUAAUUCCACAGCGACUGAAAUAGCCAUUAAACAAAAAUGUAUCAAUAGAGUCGCCGUAGUUGACUAAACAUUUUUGUCAAGUCCCCACGAUGUAUUCAAUAUAUGUAUAUGUAUGUCCCCAUGAUGACCAAUUUGUGUCAGGACAAGUGUCCCCACAAUGUAUUCAAUAUAUGUAUGCUAUGUCCCCAUGAUGUCCAAUGUAUGUCAAGAUAAGAGUCCCAACAAGUAUUUAAUAUAUGUAUGCUAUGUCCCCAUGAUGUCUAACGUGUGUCAAGAUAAUAGUCCCCACAAUGUAUUUAAUAUAUGUAAUCUAUGUCCCCAUGAUGUUCAACGUGUGUCAAGAUGAAGUCCCCACAAUGUAUUCAAUAUAUGUAAUGUAUGUCCCCAUGAUGACCAAUUUGUGUCAGGACAAGAGUCCCCACAAUGUAUUUAAUAUAUGUAAUCUAUGUCCCCAUGAUGUUCAACGUGUGUCAAGAUGAAGUCCCCACAAUGUAUUCAAUAUAUGUAUUCUAUGUCCCCAUGGUGUUCAACGCGUGUCAAGAUGAAGUCCCCACAAUGUAUUCAAUAUAUGUAAUGUAUGUCCCCAUGAUGACCAAUUUGUGUCAGGACAAGAGUCCCCACAAUGUAUUUAAUAUAUGUAAUCUAUGUCCCCAUGAUGUCCAACGUGUGUCCAGAUAAGAGUCCCCACAAUGUAUUCAAUAUAUAUACGCCAUGUCCCUGUGUUGUCAAAUGUGUGUCCAGUUAAGAGUCCCCACAAUAUAUUCAAUAUAUGUAUGCAAUGUCCCCGUGUUGUCAAAUGUGUGUCCACAUAAAAGUCCCCACAAGUUGGGUAGACAAGAUUGUCUGUGUUGGUUUGGUCCCAAUUAAUUGAUCUGAUAAAAAAUUGUUCUAAAAAUGUCCUCUUGAAAGGACAUGCAUUAAUUUAGUACCUACAUAAGUCUACUUCACUGUAAUUUGUGUCUAGGUAAAGUGGAUGUAUUAGGCCUCCAUAAUUUCAAUGAUAUUAAACUUAGUCUCUACAAUGUCCAGUUAGCAUAAGUCCAUGAACAGAAAAAGAGCCCACAGUGUCUACAUUUAAUGAAUUUAUGUCUAGAAGAGUAUGCAGAAGAAAGUGACACCUUAACCAAUAUUGUUAUAAUGCAGUUCAUAAGAAAGUGACACCUUUACCUCUUUCACACGUUUGUCUUAUUAUAGGUAUUUAGUUGAAUUCAUUUGAAAUUCCAUAUACUACAUGUUAAACUCCAGUUUGCAGACUGUCAUCUAAAGCUAGCAGUAGGCAAACAGUGCAGCGUUGUACCAUCACUUCUCUUUUGUUUGCAAUCAUUCUAUUUGUGUUAUCAGAUAUCUGAGGAGGCUCACUUCAGGAAAGAUGUGAGAGCAAAUAGCACCAGGUGAAAGUUUACUGCUGCACCAAUACCGGCCUGUCUGGGUGGCAUUUAUCAAGCUUGAAGAGGGGCUUAAGGACGCUGGGGGAUCUGUUUGUGGAGAGUCUGGUGGACAAAUACAGCAGGAAACUAAUCAAGCCAUCUAUCAACAAACCAAGUGCACCAUCUGUGUGCUUCAUCGUCUGUCCUGCGCGCUCCUAUAGCUCAGAUUUAUCUGCAGCAGUUUGCAGAGUAAUGAAUGUGAACCAAUAUUGUUGUAAUGCAGUUCAUAAUGCAAUCUACGCAUAUCCCUUCGCCUAAAUUGUAAACAUGUUCAAUCUUGCUGCAUAGUGGACCUCUUGGGUUAGAUCCUGCAGCAAGUAGACCUGAAGUUUCUUUGCACUCAGCACC